rnacentral:rRNA from 1 species
CCUGCCAGUAGUCAUAUGCUUGUCUUAAAGAUUAAGCCAUGCAUGUCUAAGUAUAAACACUUUGUACUUGUGAAACUGCGAAUGGCUCAUUAAAUCAGUUAUAAUUUAUUUGAUGGUCUUUUACUACUUGGAUAACCGUGGUAAAUCUAGAGCUAAUACAUGCACAAAAUCCUGACUGCUUUCGGGUAGGAGGGAUGUAUUUAUUAGAUUCAAAAGCCAAUGCCUUCUCUCGGGGAGGAAAUUUUUAUAAUGGUGAAUCAUGAUAACUUUACGAAUCGCAUGAUCUUGUAUCGGCGAUAGUUCAUUCAAAUAUCUGCCCUAUCAACUUUCGAUGGUAGUAUAGAGGACUACCAUGGUGGUAACGGGUAACGGAGAAUCAGGGUUUGAUUCCGGAGAAGGAGCCUGAGAAACGGCUACUACUUCCAAGGAAGGCAGCAGGCGCGCAAAUUACCCAAUCCCGACACGGGGAGGUAGUGACAAAAAAUAACAAUACCGGUCUUAUACAAGUCUGGUAAUUGGAAUGAGUACAAUCUAAAACCUUUAACGAGUAUCAAUUGGAGGGCAAGUCUGGUGCCAGCAGCCGCG